CAGCGGCCCUAGUGGUGAUCGUUAUUAUUGGGCCUAAAGCAUCCGUAGCCGGCGCUGUAAGUUUUCGGUUAAAUCUGUACGCUCAACGUACAGGCUGCCGGGAAUACUGCAGCGCUAGGGAGUGGGAGAGGUAGACGGUACUCGGUAGGAAGGGGUAAAAUCCUUUGAUCUAUUGAUGACCACCUGUGGCGAAGGCGGUCUACCAGAACACGUCCGACGGUGAGGGAUGAAAGCUGGGGGAGCAAACCGGAUUAGAGACCCGAGUAGUCC
rnacentral:rRNA from 1 species